rnacentral:rRNA from 1 species
AUUGAACGCUGGCGGCAGGCUUAACACAUGCAAGUCGAGCGAGCGGCGGACGGGUGUGUAAUGUCUGGGAAACUGCCUGAUGGAGGGGGAUAACUACUGGAAACGGUAGCUAAUACCGCAUACCAUCAGAUGUGCCCAGAUGGGAUUAGCUAGUAGGUGGGGUAAUGGCUCACCUAGGAGACGAUCCCUAGCUGGUCUGAGAGGCUGACCGGGCACCCGGGAAGUGGGACACGGUCCAGACCCCUACGGGAGGCAGCAGUGGGGAAUAGUGCACAAGUGGCGCAAGCCUGAUGCAGGAAGGCCACGUGUGUGAAGAAGGCCUUCGGGUUGUGAAGCACUUUCAGCGAGGAGGCGUUACUCGCAGAAGAAGCACCGGCUAACUCCGUGCCAGCCGCCGCGGUAAUAC